rnacentral:rRNA from 1 species
CAGCCGCCGCGGUAAUACGGAGGGUGCAAGCGUUAAUCGGAAUUACUGGGCGUAAAGGGUGCGUAGGCGGUUAUUUAAGUCUGUUGUGAAAUCCCCGGGCUCAACCUGGGAAUGGCAAUGGAUACUGGAUAGCUAGAGUGUGUCAGAGGAUGGUGGAAUUCCCGGUGUAGCGGUGAAAUGCGUAGAGAUCGGGAGGAACAUCAGUGGCGAAGGCGGCCAUCUGGGACAACACUGACGCUGAAGCACGAAAGCGUGGGGAGCAAACAGGAUUAGAUACCCCCGUAGUCCCUGUCUCUUAUAC